UUUACUUUGGAUUCAAACGCCAAAAGAGGCUGAUACAUGUAAUCAUCACAACAAUCAUGGUUAAGACAAUACAACGUUUCCGGAAAGUACGGAUUCAACAUACAGAUAUAUAACAUCCCCGCCCAAAAAUGAAAAAUUCCCAUAUUUUUCGAAAAUGUUGAAUUCGUACUCCAAAAAGAAAAAGAUUCAAAAUUUUAUAUAUAACAAUUCAACACAAAAAAAAAAAAAACAGGCACCUUUAAACUUCAUCAUCUAUUAAUUUCUCAUGUUUCACAGACAUGUAAAUACAAACACAUAUGACCAAAUGCUAGUUACUCUUUAACUUCAACAUUCAUAUGAUGUGGCGAAAUCUUAUAAAAUAUAGCAUAUUAUCAUUUACUGAAUUUUAGUGUGCUUGCUAAAAAGUGAUUGAUAUACAGUACGAGAUUAGAUUCAGUGGAGUCCCUACUCCUGCUAAUGGUUAGAUACACCUUAUAAUGAAUAAAAUUUAUAGGUUACACUAUGAAAAAAAAAAAUCUACUAUUGCGCCCAGAUUUCAUCGUAUACCAUCCCUAUCAUACACAGAUUCUCUCGAUAAAAUAAAACAAUAAAGUGAUACAAAUAAAUUUCAGCAGAACAAGACUAUCAACCAGGGUUUAUUUCUGAGUCAUCUCUAAUGCACCACUAACACACACAAAUCAGAUUUCCUUUUCUUUACUGUGCACAGACAGAUUCGAUUAAAAUUUAAAUGCUAGGAUUUCCAUCAAUUGAGUCAUACAUAAUGUUCGUUAUACAUACCAAAACAAGUCUUCAUUAAUCUUUACUAACAAGUAAAUUUAAGUAUCGCAGUACUUCAUUUCAAAACAUUAACUUCUACCUCUAUGACUUUUCAAAAUAUUUCACAUAUUGAGGUAUACCAAAAAAAACUAACCAUUAGCAACUCAACUACUUAAAAAAUACAACAAUAAAUCCAAUAAAAUAGCUUGACUAUCUAAUCUAAUCAACAUAUGUACAUGUGGACCAACAAAAAACAAAAAUCAUUCAACACAGUGAACUUUGACGGUAUUUUCGCACUCAGUGUAUUUCAAAAAAAAAAUUAACUGAUUCAUUUAAAUCUUUUUAGCAAUAAAACAAUUUACUGUCUUAAGUGAGCCAAAACAUGAAAGUCUUUUCAAAUGGAAACUUUUUAAAAAGAAAAAUUAAUACUUUUCUCAAAACUUUGUAUGUCGUUGUAUUCAAAUAGUUGAAAUACUUAGAAAAAAAAAAUAACAGUUCUGUGACAAAAA
rnacentral:lncRNA from 1 species